CCCUCUGUCGUUGCUCCGGCGGGCGGCCCCUGGGAGGGGCCCCUGCCGCGCGCGCCGCGGCGCCCGCCGGAGCGACCCGCACGCACCCCGUGCACACCAAACCAUGGCCUGUUCUGUGUCUCUCUGAUUGCCCCGAAAACAAAUCAAAACUUUCAACAACGGAUCUCUUGGUUCUGGCAUCGAUGAAGAACGCAGCGAAAUGCGAUACGUAAUGCGAAUUGCAGAAUUCAGCGAGUCAUCGAAUCUUUGAACGCACAUUGCGCCCGCCAGUACCCUGGCGGGCAUGCCUGUCCGAGCGUCACUUCCACCAUCGAGGCCCCCCCGGGGGCCCGCAUUGGGCGGUCCUGCGGCCCCGUCUGCCGUCAGGUGCCCCAAACGCAGUGGCGGGGCUCGCUGUCACCCCGGGCGCAGUAUGUUUACUCGCCCAGGGCGUGCGGCGGGCGCCUGGCCGUCAAAACGCUCCCCACCAACUCAGGUUGACCUCGGAUCAGGUAGGAAUACCCGCUGAACUUAAGCAUAUCAAUAAGCGGAGGAAAAGAAACCAACAGGGAUUGCCCUAGUAACGGCGAGUGAAGCGGCAACAGCUCAAAUUUGAAAUCUGGCCCCAGGCCCGAGUUGUACUUUGCAGAGGAUGCUUCUGGCGCGGUGCCUCCCGAGUCCCCUGGAACGGGGCGCCACAGAGGGUGAGAGCCCCGUACGGUUGGACGCCUAGCCUGUGUGAAGCUCCUUCGACGAGUCGAGUAGUUUGGGAAUGCUGCUCUAAGCGGGAGGUAAAUCUCUUCUAAAGCUAAAUACUGGCCAGAGACCGAUAGCGCACAAGUAGAGUGAUCGAAAGAUGAAAAGCACUUUGGAAAGAGGGUUAAACAGCACGUGAAAUUGUUGAAAGGGAAGCGCCCGUGACCAGACUCGCGCCGCGCUCAUCACCCGGUGCUCGCACCGGUGCACUGGGCGCGGCUCGGGCCAGCAUCGGCCCUGGUGGGGGGACAAAGGCCCAGGGAACGUGGCUCCCCCGGGAGUGUUAUAGCCCUGGGCGCAAUGCCCCCGCCGGGACCGAGGU
rnacentral:rRNA from 1 species